rnacentral:lncRNA from 10 species
UCCGGUAUCUCUUUAUUAGCCGCGUGAGAUCAGACUAAUACAGCUGGGGAGGGAAAGAAAAGUCUGUGGUGGAGGUGAUAACCUGAACUUGGCUUUGAGGAAUAAAGAGUUUUAUAUCAGGGCAUCAAGAGAAGGAUAUUCAAGGUACUUAGGACCAGAACAGGCAAAGGCACUGAAGCAAGAGAGUCUGGGGCAAGAAUGUCUCUAUUGGGUCAAGACUUUGACAAUAUUAAAGAUUCCAUUUUCUUCAUAUAUGCCCCCCUGCUGUCUUUCCAAUAAAGGUAAGCCCUGAAGCCUGACAGUCACAGGAAAGGAGAGGGUGUGUACUAGAGUAACAGCACAGUUGCUACUCAGCUGUGAAUCUCAGAGCCUGCCUUUAUUAUCUUGAUUAUUCUUUGGCAUCUCUAGGAAGAUGAUAAGUAGUCUUCAAAGUCAGACUUUACUGAGAAUGAGAAGGGAGUUCUACAUGCUAAGAGCUCCAUUCACAUACUAAAAGCAAAGCUUGGACAACUGAACAUGAGUUUUACUCCUAACCAUGGAUAAGAGAAACUGAGAAUACGAUGUGAGAAGAGUCUCUUCAUUAGGCAGGAGUGGAAUGACUCCCAGGGCAGGGAGAGAUUGAUUGAGAUUGCAAUUGCCCUGUUGGGAAAUAAACGGAAACUUCAGGAUGGGUAUGCGAGUCUUGGAGCAGCAGGGUUAGUCAACUACUUUCCUGGCAUAGCCUGGGGAAGACUGCAAGCCACUCAAAAAAGUCCUACUCAUGACUUAGAGGCUUACCCAGUAUGGCACAGGAGCACUAGCUCAGCAUUGGUGGAAGGAGGUGUCUAGUCAGUCUGAGAAAAUGUUGGCUUCCCAAAGCUUGAGCAAGAUGUUCAGUACAUCCCAAAGUUCCAACAUCAUCCCUUCCCACCCACUCCAAAGCCCAGCAGAUUAACAGUCCCAUAGUUGGGACAUGGAAGCUAUUAAGGUAGAGACCUUGAGACCAAAGGCAAUGACAGAGUUGUGGUCAGGAGCAGGGCAUGACAGCAGUGAACAAAAGCCAGGGACCCACUUACAUUACCCAGUAGACUCAGUGACAUCCAGCAAAGAUGGCAGGAUGAGCACCAGCAGCAGGACCGUCAAGGACCUCAGCACAUACAUUAGAGAAACUCUUUCCUGUGUCACCUGGAGAUGACUGUUCUCACCCACUAGAUGCCAUCAUGAGGAAGAAGCUAGGAAGAACCUUUGAAAAGCUGAGCAUUUAUCCAAAGAGAUGGUUUUAAGCCUGAGAUAGGCUAUUUGAAUCGAAAGAGAACGUUAUCUUUGAUUGGCAAGUUUAAGGCCAUCCACCUCGUCCCACACCUUCCCAAAACCAGAUGGGAUGCAU